UCUCCGUAGGUGAACCUGCGGAGGGAUCAUUACAGAGUUCAUGCCCUCCGGGUAGAUCUCCCACCCAUUGCUAUAACUACUCUCGUUGCUUUGGCGGGCCGCCGGGCCCUGCCCGGCAGCCGGCCCCGGCUGGCGCGUGACCGCCAGAGACCUCACAGACUCUGAAUGUUAGUGUCGUCCGAGUAACUAUACAAUCGUUAAAACUUUCAACAACGGAUCCCUUGGUUCUG
rnacentral:misc_RNA from 1 species